UACGUAGGGUGCAAGCGUUAAUCGGAAUUACUGGGCGUAAAGCGUGCGCAGGCGGUUUUGUAAGUCUGACGUGAAAUCCCCGGGCUUAACCUGGGAAUUGCGUUGGAGACUGCAAGGCUGGAAUCUGGCAGAGGGGGGGUAGAAUUCCACGUGUAGCAGUGAAAUGCGUAGAGAUGUGGAGGAACACCGAUGGCGAAGGCAGCCCCCUGGGUCAAGAUUGACGCUCAUGCACGAAAGCGUGGGGAGCAAACAGG
rnacentral:rRNA from 1 species